GGGAAUAUUGCACAAUGGGCGAAAGCCUGAUGCAGCAACGCCGCGUGAGCGAUGAAGGCCUUCGGGUCGUAAAGCUCUGUCCUCAAGGAAGAUAAUGACGGUACUUGAGGAGGAAGCCCCGGCUAACUACGUGCCAGCAGCCGCGGUAAUACGUAGGGGGCUAGCGUUAUCCGGAAUUACUGGGCGUAAAGGGUGCGUAGGUGGUUUCUUAAGUCAGAGGUGAAAGGCUACGGCUCAACCGUAGUAAGCCUUUGAAACUGGGAAACUUGAGUGCAGGAGAGGAGAGUGGAAUUCCUAGUGUAGCGGUGAAAUGCGUAGAUAUUAGGAGGAACACCAGUUGCGAAGGCGGCUCUCUGGACUGUAACUGACACUGAGGCACGAAAGCGUGGGGAGCAAAC
rnacentral:rRNA from 1 species